UCGAACGCGAAAGUGGCUUCGGCCGCGAGUAGAGUGGCAAACGGGUGAGUAACACGUGGGUGACCUGCCUUCGAGUGGGGGAUAACGUCUCGAAAGGGACGCUAAUACCGCAUAACAUCCUGCCUUUGGACAGGCGGAGAUCAAAGCCGGGGACCGCAAGGCCCGGCGCUUGGAGAGGGGCCCGCGCCGGAUUAGCUAGUUGGUGAGGUAACGGCCCACCAAGGCGACGAUCCGUAGCCGGCCUGAGAGGGCGGACGGCCACACUGGGACUGAGACACGGCCCAGACUCCUACGGGAGGCAGCAGUGGGGAAUUGUUCGCAAUGGGCGCAAGCCUGACGACGCAACGCCGCGUGGAGGACGAUGAUCUUCGGAUCGUAAACUCCUGUCGAGCGGGACGAACGGCCCGGGACCCAAUACGUCUCGGGAGUGACGGUACCGCUAAAGGAAGCCCCGGCUAACUCCGUGCCAGCAGCCGCGGUAAUACGGGGGGGGCCAGCGUUGUUCGGAAUUACUGGGCGUAAAGGGCGCGUAGGCGGCCUUCUCAGUCAGACGUGAAAUCCCUCGGCUCAACCGGGGAACUGCGUCUGAUACUGG
rnacentral:rRNA from 1 species